UGGGCGUGUACCCGCAGCUGCGGUAGAGUGAGCGCAAUGGAGAUGCUAGACUAGAGAGUAGAGACCUCUCGCAACUUCCCUUCCCUGGCAAUGUGGUUUUCCAAUCCAAUCUAGAGGCUCUCUUUCCCCAUCAUCCCAAUCAUAAGAUGAUUCGCCGGACUUCUUAUCGGCAUCAGUUCGUAUACCAAAACCUUCUCCUGUCCUUCCCCACAAAUACUUUACUAUUUCCUCCCCUCAGCUUUACUAGAUUGGGAUGCCCCAAGCAUGCAUUUCGACGUCUUUGUUUCCUCCCGGUGAAACAGGACUUUAAUUGCUACAAUCUCAUGAGCCUGCAUCUUCAUCAAUUCCAGGGCAUAUACAAAUAAAAGUUUUCAAGUACUAGCUAGCGGUAUGGUCACGCAGCUAAUGAAAUGUAAGAAAAGUCCUGAAGAAUUUGCUAAUGAACCAGAUGCAGAAGCGGCCCUCUAUAAUGGUUUUAACUUGAUUGUUGAUCAUCUUUGAUCAAUGUCCAUGCUCUACAUCACCAACUGCCAAAAGACAGCGGCAUUAUUGCUACACAGUUUCUCCUGCUAUUCAUGUCUUGUCUAAUGCAAAACUCUGACAGGCCAGCCCAUGCCCUAAGUUUGAUCAGGAACGGACGAAGCUUUGAACAGUUGUGGACAUUUCAGGCAAAAAGGCAGUUGAAUUAGGAGAUUUCCUUGGGGCAUGUUUGUGUUCUAAAUUUUAGUCUCUUCGUUGAAGUUAUUUUCAAUUUUCACGCAUAUUGUCAUUUUUAUAGUCCCGCAAUCAAAGCAACAUUCUACUUUGCAUGUUUAUUAGACCAUAAGUUUAUAUCACUGCAGGCUGAAAGAUUGGAGCAAAGUUUCAAGGAUCCAAUGGAUAAUAUGGCGAAGGAGAGGUUCCCUUAAAAGAGACGUCUAAAAAGUUAAUGCAUGGCACCACUAAAUGUUUUCUGGACUGGGACUAUCAUUUGAGUUCCAUAUUUGUUGAUGCUGAUUUGCCUAUGUUAAUCUCGCUCUCUCUCUCUCAUGCCCUCGGGCUCACAAGUUGUGUACGUGCAUGCUAGUGUUCAUGUGAAUGACCAUUGAAACAUGUCUUUUUGCGUAUGCUGAAGAAUAUCUCAAUGCGCUCAAAGAUUCUUUAAUUUAUGUUUAAUGCACAGGGACGUUAUGGUACUAGAAGUACGUCUGCAUUGACUAUGAAUACAAGUGGGAACAUGCCAUUUUUUGAAAAGUAUCUUGAUGCAGACUUGUUGAAGACGCAGACCAUCAGCUUCCAGAUUAGGCAAGAAAAGAUGACAUUGUGUCUUUCAAGAAUGUUAAAACUAAACAAACCUGUAACACAUAUAGGAUGCGAAACUAAAAUCUGCAACCAAGUAUGAAGAAUCUGUUACUUUCUUUAUGAAGGCAAAGAGUUUCAGGCUUUGUUUUAUUCAGGAAAAUAAAAAGAGUUGAUUCGUUAACCUUUUCUUCUUCUUUCUUUUUUUUGGUUGUUUUAUAUAUAUCCGCUCUGUGCUAUAUUUCUUUUAUUUUACUUUUGGCUUAUUUUGUUAGGGUAAGGGAGAAAGGGAGAGACGAAAAAGGAGGCACCUUUUUUAAAGGAGUUGCUAAUUCCUUUGAAGGCCAUACCCAACUUGCCACUUCCUGAUUUAGGAUCAGAUUUGAGCUAUCACGAUUUUGAUGAGCAACUUUCACUUCUUGAAAAGGUUUUUUUGGCUUCCUCUCUUUUGAAAGAUUAAAAAUUACCGUGUGUAGUAGUUGUAGUUGUAGUAGUUGUUGUUGUUGUGCCUGGAAAAGUCCUAAGCGAUGGUGGGUGAUACUACUGUUGUUUGGAAAAGAUGGAAAGGACAUGGCCUUUCAAUGGGCGAGGGGACGUACGAUGUUAGAACAUAUUAUUGUAGGAUGAUUUUACUGCUCCAGUCUUGUGGACAUUACUUGAUACGUCAUUCAUGUACUUUAUUCAGUCCUAAUGGAUUGAAAGAAUAUAUAAGAAGGUUACAUGCUCGGGUAUGGGGAAUUUGUAAUUAAUUGAGACCUGAUGUUAUUAUGAAGAAA